rnacentral:rRNA from 1 species
GAUGAACGCUGGCGGCGUGCUUAACACAUGCGAGUCGAACGGUGAAGGCGGAGCUUGCUCUGCUGGAUCAGUGGCGAACGGGUGAGUAACACGUGAGCAAUCUGCCCCUGACUCUGGGAUAAGUGCUGGAAACGGCGUCUAAUACUGGAUACGAGCUGCGAAGGCAUCUUCAGCAGCUGGAAAGAAUUUCGGUCAGGGAUGAGCUCGCGGCCUAUCAGCUUGUUGGUGAGGUAAUGGCUCACCAAGGCGUCGACGGGUAGCCGGCCUGGGAGGGUGACCGGCCACACUGGGCCUGAGACACGGCCCAGACUCCUACGGGGGGCAGCAGGGGGGAAUCUUGCACAAUGGGCGCAAGCCUGAUGCAGCAACGCCGCGUGAGGGAAGACGGCCUUCGGGUUGUAAACCUCUUUUAGCAGGGAAGAAGCGAAAGUGACGGUACCUGCAGAAAAAGCGCCGGCUAACUACGUG